rnacentral:snRNA from 1 species
GUCUGAGUGCAGGGGCAUUUUCCGUGCGGGUGAAGCAUCUGCUGACGCCGGAAUUUUGCUAGUUGAAAACUACAACAUAUGACCGCUCUUACUGGCCUUCGGGUCGGUAAGGAAUCUUUGGAAACCCCAAGAACGG